rnacentral:rRNA from 1 species
AGAGUUUGAUCAUGGCUCAGAUUGAACGCUGGCGGCGUGCUUUACACAUGCAAGUCGAACGGUAACGCGGGGGCAACCCUGGCGACGAGUGGCGAACGGGUGAGUAAUACAUCGGAACAUGUCCUGGAGUGGGGGGAUAGCUCGGCGAAAGCCGGAUUAAUACCGCAUACGCUCUGAGGAGGAAAGCGGGGGACCCGCAAGGCCUCGCGCUGCAGGAGUGGCCGAUGUCGGAUUAGCUAGUUGGUGAGGUAAAGGCUCACCAAGGCGACGAUCCGUAGCUGGUCUGAGAGGAUGAUCAGCCACACUGGGGACUGAGACACGGCCCAGACUCCUACGGGAGGCAGCAGUGGGGAAUUUUUGGACAAUGGGGGGCAACCCUGAUCCAGCCAUGCCGCGUGAGUGAAGAAGGCCUUCGGUGUAAAGCUCUUUCGGACGGAACGAAAUGGUUACAGUGAAUAACUGUGAUUGAUGACGGUACCGUAAGAAGAAGCACCGGCUAACUACGUGCCAGCAGCCGCGGUAAUACGUAGGGUGCGAGCGUUAAUCGGAAUUACUGGGCGUAAAGCGUGCGCAGGCGGUUCGCCAAGUCAGGUGUGAAAUCCCCGGGCUUAACCUGGGAAUUGCGCUUGAAACUAGCGGGCUUGAGUGUGGCAGAGGGGGGUGGAAUUCCACGUGUAGCAGUGAAAUGCGUAGAGAUGUGGAGGAACACCGAUGGCGAAGGCAGCCCCCUGGGUCAACACUGACGCUCAUGCACGAAAGCGUGGGGAGCAAACAGGAUUAGAUACCCUAGUAGUCC